ensembl:lncRNA
ACCAAUGACCAUUUGAAAUCCUUCUUCUUUGAGGAACCUUGUGACAGCUUAAAAGGACCUGGCUCCAGCAGGACCAAACCCAAGGAGAGCAUAAGUGAUUUAAAAGAUAUUUCUUCAGUGUUUGCCUGCCAACGACCUCCUUCAGACUGUAAUGUGACGAAUGUGUCAGGGCAUUACAAAGAGAGCUCUGUGACUUCACAAACAGCUUCUCGCAUAAGCAGAGAUGACGGCAGCACAACAGCACAGCUCAAACCUGAGGCGACUGAGGACAAGCCAGGCUUCGAUGCUGUGUGUGCGGGUGGAGGCUGUCUGACUGAGCUGAAGACUAAAGUUGGUGAACUUGAGGCAGAAGAAAAGACUGACAAGGGCCCUCUUUUGGAGAACUGUGAAAUGGGCAUGAGUUUCAAAGACUUGCAUGCCCGAGUAGCGCCACAAAGCCCAAGAAGCCCUUUCAACCCUGAAGUACGAUCGGCACGCAUAAGAACACGGUCCACUAGCAACUCCCCCAAAGCAGACCCUGGUACAGUUUCAUCUGCACCAGUCUCUGACAUAGACUCAAGCAGACCUCAUUCUCUCUUGGACCUCCCUUGGCACGGCUCUGUUUCUCCAUCCUCUUGUCUACCAGCUGGCAUGGCUUCCCACCAAUUCCCUGACCCUGCUCCAGCUCCCGCUCCAGACCCCAUCCCAACCUCCCUCAUAUGCCCCCAGACCGCAACACCCGGUACGGGAAGCACUCUGCCCGGGGUGCCCUUCACAGCCUCCGCAGCCCAGCCGCAGGUUACUGCACGGCAUACUCUUUGCCCAGAGGAGGCACAGCCAACUAGCGGCCUCCCUCCCCUUGAGGAGAGCAGCCCUCACCCAGUGAAGCCCCUGAUCACAGUAGUGCAAGGUGAAAAGAGAUCCGAGGGCCGUUCAGUGCUGGAGAAACUCCGCUCCUCCAUCCAUCCAGGACGCUCCGCACAGCAGGCCGCAGCUGAGCCAGAGAAAACCCAGGUACUGCUGCCUCAUCACUCCAGGCUUCAGCUGUAACCCGGC